AUGUUACGGUAAGAAUGAAAGAUGAGUCAGUGUCAUAUACAUCAAAAGAUAUGCACGUGUAAGACAAACGGUAGAAUAUUAGCAUUUUGCCCACGAAAUCAUUUCCCAUGACCCUUGGCCCAGGCUAAGAUGAGCAAAAAAAUGGAAGCCAUGGAAGGAGAUAAUUCUGACUAUGAGAAUGAAUUAGGCCCAGUACCUGUGAGUGAACUUCAGAAGCAAUUAGAAGUUGGGAAGCUUAUUGACAGAGCUUUUGAACAUGUCAAGCACAGCCAAGCAGCAGAAGAAGUAGCAGAUAUCGCAGCUGGUGCAGAAGGUCACCACCUUUUUGAUGGAGUUGCUGCAGUUCAGGGCCCUAUAGCUCCGGAGAUUCAGGCAGGCAAUUUUAGGGCAUUGCACUCUUCCAGUGGAGUUGGGUCUGAUGGAACUGGAUCUCGGAGUAUAAACCUUCGCUACUCAGGCACAGCAAGCAACGAUGUUCAAAAUCUUGCAGGAAAUGUUGAAACUGUUGAUGAUUUUUUAAAAGCAGGACCAUCCUUGGAGACAUUGCACAAGCUGAACUUAACACUUCAGAGACGGUUUGAGUACAAAAGAGACCAACUAGACAGGAUAUUACAAACAAACCUUACUAGACAGGCACAACUAAGGGAUGAAAUAUCGCAAGACAGAGCGAACACUGACCAGGAGAAGAAGGGAGAUACAAAGGAAAAAGCACCUUUCCGAGUUUCAAAUUUUUGCGUUCCCUAUUUCAAAAAUCGUAGUGGGAUGAAUGCUCCUAAGAAUGAAGAUGCUAGGUUCAAGCUUGACAAUGGCUGCCUGGACCUUUACACAACACGUGCACGCCAGUGGAAGGCAAGGGAAAAGGAGGCCUUGAAAGAGAGUGUACACAAGGAGUGGAAGCAGCAGCUUAUAGACACAAAGGAAUUGAAGCUGAGGGACCUCCAGAGAAGGUUGAGGAAUGCCGACACCAACAGUGAAGAAACAUCACUGGAAGAGAUGAAGAAGGACCUUGAGAAGCAAAUUAGGGAUUUAAGAGUGACACCUGCAGAAUCUCUAACACCUCCCCCACUUGAAAAAUUGGAUUGGGAGAAAAUAGCAGCUCAGACAUUUGAUGGCCAUCGAACUUCUGAUGAAUGCAGCUUGCAGUGGGAGAACCUGCUUCACCCUGCCAUAAAUACUUCAAAUUGGGAUCCUAAGGAAGAUAUGGCCAUUCAGGAACUGGUGACAUCAAGCAAGCAUGACAUUCCAGAUUGGAGCAAAAUUGCAUCAAAAUUAAAGACAAACCGCACAGGAUAUCUGGUGAUGCAGCGGUGGGUAUCGUUUAUUGCUCCUGCUCUAAACCCUGCCAAGUGGACACCAGAAUCAACUCAGAAAUUGAUUGAUACUGUGAACAUGCUUAGGGUUAGCAACUGCAUUCCAUGGGCACAGGUUCAUCAACAUCUUGUGGGUUUUAGCCGUUAUCAAAUCCAAAGUCGGUGGCGACAAAUCAACCCUGAACAGUCAAAGGGUCCCUUUACAGUGGAGGAGGACUUCAUUCUUAUAAAAGGCUUACACAUGUUUGGCUUGAAUUUUUCAAACAUUGCCCACUUCAUGCCAGGUCGAUCAUAUGCUCAAGUUCGUGAUAGAUACAAGCGAACUAUCCUGCCAAACUUAACCUACAAACCCUGGACAAGAGAAGAAGAUGAAAUUUUGAUUCAGGAAUGCCAAGUUGGGGCUCGCAAUUGGCGUAAGAUGAUCUUGCAGCUGCCAAUGCGGAAUGCCUGUCAGAUCAGAGUGAGAUAUCACAUUCUCCAAGAAUGGCAGACCCUGACAGACAGUAAUUUGCCCCCUCCUCCCUUGUUCCCAGUGUCCACAACCACUGAUGCAGAAAUGAUCAACAAGAUUCGCAUGAAUAUGAUUCGGGACACUAACCAAGUCAAGGAACUAGUGGACCAGAGUAGAGCAAAGACUGAUAUGAAAGAUGCAGUGAUGGUGUUGGAGAACCGCCGCAAGGAGAUAAAAGCCAGGAAGGCUGGUAACUCCAUGCAGAAACUAAAGUGCGUAACAGAGAAACGAGGACGAAGACAAGGAACUCCUAAUCCGCACCAGGUCACCCUUGAAAAUGCUUUUCUCACACAAUUCUUUCUUCCUUGGAGGUGCUAUCCAGGAAGUAUAAGUAUUUCAAGUGAGAUUGUUCAGUCAAAUCUCUGUUUGCUGGGUAGGGUUCAGCAGUUGAAGAUUUCCUCUGUGGUUUCUCCGGAAGAGCGAAAGAUGUUGAGUGCCCUUCAGUUGUCUGAUAUAGACACUAAAGUUGUGGACUCAUUGGUCAUAAAACCAGGGGAGGAAGAAGCAGCUGAUGAAUUUGAGGCUCAUGGUGAUGCUUGUCCAGAGACCAUCCCUCUCAUCCCUCCCAAUCAAACAACCUUAGGGGCCUUUAUUUCCCUUUUGUUGCACCGACCUCAGCUGGAGCAAAUGGCCUUAGGUGGUAUGAUAACAUCCAAAUUUAAAAAGUUACGGGAAUCUGGUCAGUCGAGCCAGAGAGGUCGGAAGAGGAAAUUAUUGAAAAACUUCAGGGACUUGUGCCCAGGGACAAGCAGGGGACUGGCCAGUGAUUGGUCGGAUAUUGACAGCCCUGAUGAAGUAGAAAGUUCAGAAACAAGAACAGCGCAACAGAAAGUUCACAUUACAUCUGUGGCAAAAUUGGUGGAAACCCCAUUCCCAAAAGUAUGAGUGAAUCUGCUGCAGAGGCUGCAAAAGCAAGUACAGUGGAUACAGUGGUGUCAAAAGAGACAGAAAGGGAGGAAGCAGCUGGACGUCAACAUGCUGAUGAGUUGCUCUUCCACAGGAUGCUGUCAUUGUUCUACUGGCCUACCUUAAUGAGCAAGUGCAGGUGAUUAUG
rnacentral:misc_RNA from 1 species